GAAAUAAAGGAAUGGCGAGAUUAGUAUUUCAUUCCCAAUUUUGGACAGAGAUUCCAAACAAGGGGACAGUCCAAGGGUGGAAGAGAAACCCUUUGGAAAGAGACGACGUUCCUCAAAGUCAUCAAGACCAGCUCCUUUUUACUUUCGCUAAAUUCCGAAAGUACAAAGGCACUUUCCAUUUGGAUUACUUUCGCGUUCUUUCUCUUUCACGCCAAUGCACCUGACAAACAACACCUGGAUUUUAAAAUCCCAUUUCUGCACGGGAUUUUACCAAGUCGCCCUCCGUGUGAUAAAGUCCUGAGUUAUUUUUGCAGUGCAGAUGCAGCCUAAGAGAGAAGAAGACAUCUUGCAGAUGGAGGAGGUGGAUAGAAGAAGCAAAUCUGCAGCAAUGAAAGGUAAUCUAUCAAUGGUGCCCAGUCCUUUUUAACUUCAUCCCAGUUGGAAUCUUUUAACAUACAACUCCUGGUCUCCCAUGAAGAGAUGGCUGAAGGGGAAGGGGAGCUCCUGAAUCUGGGUCUGGGGGAACUCUGCAAGGAAGUCAAGAUAGAGAAUGAUG